GAUGAACGCUGGCGGCGUGCCUAAUACAUGCAAGUCGAGCGAACAGACGAGGAGCUUGCUCCUCUGACGUUAGCGGCGGACGGGUGAGUAACACGUGGAUAACCUACCUAUAAGACUGGGAUAACUUCGGGAAACCGGAGCUAAUACCGGAUAAUAUAUUGAACCGCAUGGUUCAAUAGUGAAAGACGGUUUUGCUGUCACUUAUAGAUGGAUCCGCGCCGCAUUAGCUAGUUGGUAAGGUAACGGCUUACCAAGGCAACGAUGCGUAGCCGACCUGAGAGGGUGAUCGGCCACACUGGAACUGAGACACGGUCCAGACUCCUACGGGAGGCAGCAGUAGGGAAUCUUCCGCAAUGGGCGAAAGCCUGACGGAGCAACGCCGCGUGAGUGAUGAAGGUCUUCGGAUCGUAAAACUCUGUUAUUAGGGAAGAACAAGUGUGUAAGUAACUAUGCACGUCUUGACGGUACCUAAGCAGAAAGCCACGGCUAACUACGU
rnacentral:rRNA from 1 species